AUUGAACGCUGGCGGCAGGCCUAACACAUGCAAGUCGAGCGGAUGAAGGGAGCUUGCUCCUGGAUUCAGCGGCGGACGGGUGAGUAAUGCCUAGGAAUCUGCCUGGUAGUGGGGGAUAACGUCCGGAAACGGGCGCUAAUACCGCAUACGUCCUGAGGGAGAAAGUGGGGGAUCUUCGGACCUCACGCUAUCAGAUGAGCCUAGGUCGGAUUAGCUAGUUGGUGGGGUAAAGGCCUACCAAGGCGACGAUCCGUAACUGGUCUGAGAGGAUGAUCAGUCACACUGGAACUGAGACACGGUCCAGACUCCUACGAGAGGCAGCAGUGGGGAAUAUUGGACAAUGGGCGAAAGCCUGAUCCAGCCAUGCCGCGUGUGUGAAGAAGGUCUUCGGAUUGUGAAGCACUUUAAGUUGGGAGGAAGGGCAGUAAGUUAAUACCUUGCUGUUUUGACGUUACCAACAGAAUAAGCACCGGCUAACUUCGUG
rnacentral:rRNA from 1 species